UGGGGAAUUUUGGACAAUGGGGGAAACCCUGAUCCAGCCAUCCCGCGUGUGCGAUGAAGGCCUUCGGGUUGUAAAGCACUUUUGGCAGGAAAGAAACGUCAUGGGUUAAUACCCCGUGAAACUGACGGUACCUGCAGAAUAAGCACCGGCUAACUACGUGCCAGCAGCCGCGGUAAUACGUAGGGUGCAAGCGUUAAUCGGAAUUACUGGGCGUAAAGCGUGCGCAGGCGGUUCGGAAAGAAAGAUGUGAAAUCCCAGAGCUAAACUUUGGAACUGAAUUUGUAACUACCGGGCUAGGGUGUGCAGAGGGGAGUGGAAAUUCGCCUGGAGGAAGUGAAUGCCGUAGAAAGCCGAGGAACACCGAUGGCGAAGGCAGCCUCCUGGGAUAACACUGACGCUCAUGCACGAAAGCGUGGGGAGCAAACAGG
rnacentral:rRNA from 1 species